CGGUGGAGCAUGUGGUUAAUCGACGCAACGCGAAGAACCUUACCAGGGCUUGACAUCCCCUGACCGCGUAUGAAAGUACGUUUUCACCCUCGGGUGACAGGGAGACAGGUGGUGCAUGGUUGUCGUCAGCUCGUGUCGUGAGAUGUUGGGUUAAGUCCCGCAACGAGCGCAACCCCUACGUUUAGUUGCUAACAGGUGAAGCUGAGCACUCUAGACGAACUGCCGUUGACAAAACGGAGGAAGGUGGGAUGACGUCAAAUCAUCAUGCCCCUUAUGUUCUGGGCUACACACGUGCUACAAUGGCCGGUACAGACGGAGGCGAAGCCGCGAGGCGGAGCAAAUCCCUUAAAGGCGGUCCCAGUUCAGAUUGUGGGCUGAAACUCGCCCACAUGAAGGCGGAAUUGCUAGUAAUUGCAGAUCAGCAUGCUGCCAGUCCGAAUACGUUCCGGCCUU
rnacentral:rRNA from 1 species